rnacentral:lncRNA from 1 species
GUCUUGUUUUAGUUCUGUACCCUGAGGGUGAGGGUUAUGAAAUUAUGGCUCUACUUUUGCAGUGGCCUUUUUUUCCUUUUCAAAAAUAAAAACCAUGUUUAAGAACUGUGUUCUAUUUUAAAGAUAUACCGGUUGGGAACCAGGAACUCCUUUCACUCCUGAGAAGGAUCAUCCGAUACAUCCAGAUUAAGGUAUUGAAUUGCAACAUGCUCCUUCAAAACCAUGUCAUAAGCAUGAAGUAGUUCACAUAAAGGCCUGUUUAGGGGACUCGGUUGCCCUGAAGGUCUGAGCUUAACUUGAUUAUGUGCAACCAAAUACAGGCUUCAUGCCUCGAUGCAAUCUCACAGAGCAUAUAUACAGUGUAAUCCAAAUGUCAUAUUUUUUUUAUUUUCUUAAUUUUAUUGCCUAAAUGUCAUGCAUGGGAUAUAUACAUGUAUUUUCUUUCCUUUGUAGUUUGUCUCUGGUAUACAGAUAUCAGGAGAAUCAUUUUUUUUUAAAUCUGUUUUCUCAAAAAAUUCAGUUCUCCUUAAAUCUGACAUAAUCAUGUUAAUUUUUUUCCCUUUAGAAAGAGUCAUCACAGUCCAUAGAGAGCCCACCGUGGUGAGACGGGUUAUUGAGGGCCCAACAACAAUUAAGAAGGUCACCCGUGUGAUUGAAGGUCAGCCCUCUGUCACUACGGUUACUAGAGUCAUCGGAGGGGAUUCUUCUGUUACCACAGUCCUUAAAAGAUUUGAACGAGGACCCUGGAGAAAUCACCAGACACAUUCAAGCAGUUCCCCGGAGGAGAACCUAAAUCAAGACCAGCCACAGUGAGCCUCCGUAGAAAACAAGACCUGAGGAGUAAAGCAAAUACUUCCUACAUUUACUUGCGCAAUGGUCCAGAACCUACCAGGUUGGAGUUGAGUUUAAGGCAAUAGAAAAACAAACUCGAUUUUGAUCAUUCCGGUUGCCCCAGAGAUAAUAGAUGAUUUUGUUCAAGUACAUUUGGUCCAAACAGGAAUAUGAAAUUCCCCAUACGUAUGUAAAUAUUUCAAGCUUUCUCUCCUUUUUGUUGUAAAAUGUGGUUUGAAAAAUCACAGGCUCAUGAAUAAGUGCUCAUAUGUGGCAUGAUACACAAAAUCUGAUGCUUUCUGAUGAUUUUGUGUUAAAACGAUUCAGAAACAUUCGUACAUGCAUGCAUUACGUGUGAAGUACAGUACCGGUACACUUAAGGCAUCUGAACAAAAAAAUGGAAUGCGUUCAUAUGAAAUACAUGGUGAAGGGAAGAGUUGCCUUAAACCAGUAAUAUGAAUUUAUUUUUCUGGGGUUUACCAUUGCAUGGACAAUGAUUUUAUGGUGCUCAUAUUUAGAUGGUGUAAAAUCUAAAAUAAAGAUAGAAAUUGUGUUGCAUUGUUUUGUUAUAAAAUCUCAAAUCUUUUUCAUGUUUCUUUUCUGGUGGGAUAGAGGUCAAAUGUUCUUCUUCAGUGUUUUGUGUGUGUUCUGUGUGUCCAUUUGUAUAAACCAUGCACAAAUGUGCUGAACAAUGCAUUCUUUGAAAACGCAAAGCUUUAUCUCAAACUGAAUUUUCAUGUUUCCAGUUCAAAUUUAAUUCAGCAUGAACAGGUUUUGGCUCCUUUGCUUAUUAUUUUUCAAUUUCCAUAAUAAACUCACUUUUAGACUAUGGAAUUGUGUGUCUUAGACGGUUUUUUUUUUUUUUAUAAAAUAUUUUGAAUGUUUAUAACAUUUUAUUAGUACUGAAGCACUAUUUUUGCCAAGUACUAUGACAUGUACGCUAACAGUUUCCAAGGUGAAAAAAUAUUUGCAAUGCAAAAAUAUCUCGCAAAUUUAUGAUGCAAGCCCUAUUUAUCAGAAUAAUGUAUUUAGAAAAUACAAUUCUUCAGUAUAAUGAUUAAUAUUUUAGUACAGUCGGCACAAAAAAGUCCAUAUUUUUAAGUUUCAUUUUGCAUAGGUUUUAAAGUAUUUCAAGUCCAUACAUCCAUUUGAAAUUACUUGAUUAAUGCAUGAUUUCUCAGAGUUUGAUGUAUUUGUGCAUUUAUCAACUUCAAGACUUCUUUAUUUUUCCUUUUUCUUUUUUUUGCCCCCCUUGGUGGUACAAAUUCAUACCAUUCAUGUGAGUUCAUGCAGCCACUGUAAUGUGGGAGAAGUCAAGGCACACAUAUAAUACUGAAUUUUUAAAUAACUUCUAUGUUUUAGCACUUCACACACUGACAUUUUGUGUUAGUAUGGAAUGUAGCAAACAUUAUCUAAAGAAAACCCUUCAAAAGAAACACUGUCUGAGCUUUGCUGCUAUUUUUUCUUCUUGAUGCAGUUAAAACACUGAAUGCAGUUUUGUUACUGUAAGAAAUGCUGAUUACACAAAUGCUGAUUAGGGGAUAAUGUUUUUACUUUUAAUAAAUAUUACUAUUUUUACUGUAUAAUUUUUUUUCUUUUUUUUUUGCAUUAGUAGUAGUUUGGACCAGGCAAAUAAUGAUCACACUCUAUGCAUAUAUAAACUAAAUGUGUGUAAAUGUAAACAGCCAACCAAACUAAGAAUGCAAGGGCUGCGAAUAUUUUUCAGAAUGCAAGACUGAACUUGCUGCUAUUCAUUUCCACAUAGAGGUGGAGGUCAAAGCGGGACGUUUCAGCUGGGGGCUAGUGGUGACAUGCAUCCCACUGUAGUGCAUACGGUGCAGCUGGUUCAUUUGAGCUGCUUCCAAGAACUACAGUCAGAUUCCAGUAUGAUCUCUCUGACAACCUCUUUGAGUCACUUCAUCUGAUUUCAUUCUAAUUAGCAGAACUGCAAAACUUGUGAUCAUGUCCUGAUCUUUUGUAAUGUCGUAUAUAUCCAAAUGUGCUGUCAGUAUCUUUCAUUUGCAGUCAUGCUGGAGCCCAACCCUCAAUAGCUUGUUCAGGCAAGAGGGGCAAUGCAAAGAACAGCGAACUGGAAAAGGGUUGGUUGUACGGUACAUGCUGGUUGGUUGCACCUCAUACACCCCCACACCUUCUCAAACAAUCCAUCAAGAUAUUUGAAAUGACUUGUUUGAGGGGGGAAAAAAAUCGCAGUUAUGUAAGGACUGGAUAUGCAUAUACAGAAAUGUCAAAUAGGACUAGUUGCAUGUUUUUCCAACUAGAACAUAUUUCAAACGAAGAGAUUAUUCACCCUGUUUUUGUUAAAUUGUAAAUGUAUGUGAGGCAUUUCUUUAAAGCUGCAACACUGUAAGACAUUAACAGGUUCAGAUUUGCCUAAAG